rnacentral:rRNA from 1 species
AUGAACGCUAGCUACAGGCUUAACACAUGCAAGUCGAGGGGCAGCAUGGUCUUAGCUUGCUAAGACUGAUGGCGACCGGCGCACGGGUGAGUAACACGUAUCCAACCUGCCGUCUACUCUUGGACAGCCUUCUGAAAGGAAGAUUAAUACAAGAUGGCAUCAUGAGUCCGCAUGUUCACAUGAUUAAAGGUAUUCCGGUAGACGAUGGGGAUGCGUUCCAUUAGAUAGUAGGCGGGGUAACGGCUCACCUAGUCUUCGAUGGAUAGGGGUUCUGAGAGGAAGGUCCCCCACAUUGGAACUGAGACACGGUCCAAACUCCUACGGGAGGCAGCAGUGAGGAAUAUUGGUCAAUGGGCGAGAGCCUGAACCAGCCAAGUAGCGUGAAGGAUGACUGCCCUAUGGGUUGUAAACUUCUUUUAUAAAGGAAUAAAGUCGGGUAUGGAUACCCGUUUGCAUGUACUUUAUGAAUAAGGAUCGGCUAACUCCGUGCCAGCAGCCGCGGUAAUACGGAGGAUCCGAGCGUUAUCCGGAUUUAUUGGGUUUAAAGGGAGCGUAGAUGGAUGUUUAAGUCAGUUGUGAAAGUUUGCGGCUCAACCGUAAAAUUGCAGUUGAUACUGGAUAUCUUGAGUGCAGUUGAGGCAGGCGGAAUUCGUGGUGUAGCGGUGAAAUGCUUAGAUAUCACGAAGAACUCCGAUUGCGAAGGCAGCCUGCUAAGCUGCAACUGACAUUGAGGCUCGAAAGUGUGGGUAUCAAACAGGAUUAGAUACCCUGGUAGUCCACACGGUAAACGAUGAAUACUCGCUGUUUGCGAUAUACUGCAAGCGGCCAAGCGAAAGCGUUAAGUAUUCCACCUGGGGAGUACGCCGGCAACGGUGAAACUCAAAGGAAUUGACGGGGGCCCGCACAAGCGGAGGAACAUGUGGUUUAAUUCGAUGAUACGCGAGGAACCUUACCCGGGCUUAAAUUGCAGAUGAAUUACGGUGAAAGCCGUAAGCCGCAAGGCAUCUGUGAAGGUGCUGCAUGGUUGUCGUCAGCUCGUGCCGUGAGGUGUCGGCUUAAGUGCCAUAACGAGCGCAACCCUUGUUGUCAGUUACUAACAGGUUCCGCUGAGGACUCUGACAAGACUGCCAUCGUAAGAUGUGAGGAAGGUGGGGAUGACGUCAAAUCAGCACGGCCCUUACGUCCGGGGCUACACACGUGUUACAAUGGGGGGUACAGAGGGCCGCUACCACGCGAGUGGAUGCCAAUCCCCAAAACCUCUCUCAGUUCGGACUGGAGUCUGCAACCCGACUCCACGAAGCUGGAUUCGCUAGUAAUCGCGCAUCAGCCACGGCGCGGUGAAUACGUUCCCGGGCCUUGUACACACCGCCCGUCAAGCCAUGGGAGCCGGGGGUACCUGAAGUGCGUAACCGCGAGGAGCGCCCUAGGGUAAAACUGGUGACUGGGGCU